rnacentral:rRNA from 1 species
GACGAACGCUGGCGGCGUGCUUAACACAUGCAAGUCGAACGGAAAGGCUCUGCUUUUGUGGGGUGCUCGAGUGGCGAACGGGUGAGUAACACGUGAGUAACCUGCCCUUGACUUUGGGAUAACUUCAGGAAACUGGGGCUAAUACCGGAUAGGAGCUCCUGCUGCAUGGUGGGGGUUGGAAAGUUUCGGCGGUUGGGGAUGGACUCGCGGCUUAUCAGCUUGUUGGUGGGGUAGUGGCUUACCAAGGCUUUGACGGGUAGCCGGCCUGAGAGGGUGACCGGCCACAUUGGGACUGAGAUACGGCCCAGACUCCUACGGGAGGCAGCAGUGGGGAAUAUUGCACAAUGGGCGGAAGCCUGAUGCAGCGACGCCGCGUGCGGGAUGACGGCCUUCGGGUUGUAAACCGCUUUCGCCUGUGACGAAGCGUGAGUGACGGUAAUGGGUAAAGAAGCACCGGCUAACUACGUG